rnacentral:rRNA from 1 species
UACGAAGGGGGCUAGCGUUGCUCGGAAUCACUGGGCGUAAAGCGCACGUAGGCGGAUUGUUAAGUCAGGGGUGAAAUCCUGGAGCUCAACUCCAGAACUGCCUUUGAUACUGACGGUCUUGAGUCCGGGAGAGGUGAGUGGAACUCCGAGUGUAGAGGUGAAAUUCGUAGAUAUUCGGAAGAACACCAGUGGCGAAGGCGGCUCACUGGCCCGGUACUGACGCUGAGGUGCGAAAGCGUGGGGAGCAAAGCAGG